CCUACGGGUGGCUGCAGUGGGGAAUAUUGGACAAUGGGCGAAAGCCUGAUCCAGCCAUGCCGCGUGUGUGAAGAAGGCCUUCGGGUUGUAAAGCACUUUCAGUGGGGAAGAAAGCCUUGGGGCUAAUACCCUCGAGGAAGGACAUCACCCACAGAAGAAGCACCGGCUAACUCCGUGCCAACAGCCGCGGUAAUACGGAGGGUGCGAGCGUUAAUCGGAAUUACUGGGCGUAAAGCGCGCGUAGGCGGUCUGAUAAGCCGGUUGUGAAAGCCCCGGGCUCAACCUGGGAACGGCAUCCGGAACUGUCAGGCUAGAGUGCAGGAGAGGAAGGUAGAAUUCCCGGUGUAGCGGUGAAAUGCGUAGAGAUCGGGAGGAAUACCAGUGGCGAAGGCGGCCUUCUGGACUGACACUGACGCUGAGGUGCGAAAGCGUGGGUAGCAAACAGGAUUAGAUACCCGAGUAGUC
rnacentral:rRNA from 1 species